rnacentral:rRNA from 1 species
GUAUCAGAAGUGCGAAUGCUGACAUAAGUAACGAUAAAGCGGGUGAAAAGCCCGCUCGCCGGAAGACCAAGGGUUCCUGUCCAACGUUAAUCGGGGCAGGGUGAGUCGACCCCUAAGGCGAGGCCGAAAGGCGUAGUCGAUGGGAAACAGGUUAAUAUUCCUGUACUUGGUGUUACUGCGAAGGGGGGACGGAGAAGGCUAUGUUGGCCGGGCGACGGUUGUCCCGGUUUAAGCGUGUAGGCUGGUUUUCCAGGCAAAUCCGGAAAACCAAGGCUGAGGCGUGAUGACGAGGCACUACGGUGCUGAAGCAACAAAUGCCCUGCUUCCAGGAAAAGCCUCUAAGCAUCAGGUAACAUCAAAUCGUACCCCAAACCGACACAGGUGGUCAGGUAGAGAAUACCAAGGCGCUUGAGAGAACUCGGGUGAAGGAACUAGGCAAAAUGGUGCCGUAACUUCGGGAGAAGGCACGCUGAUAUGUAGGUGAAGCGACUUGCUCGUGGAGCUGAAAUCAGUCGAAGAUACCAGCUGGCUGCAACUGUUUAUUAAAAACACAGCACUGUGCAAACACGAAAGUGGACGUAUACGGUGUGACGCCUGCCCGGUGCCGGAAGGUUAAUUGAUGGGGUUAGCGGUAACGCGAAGCUCUUGAUCGAAGCCCCGGUAAACGGCGGCCGUAACUAUAACGGUCCUAAGGUAGCGAAAUUCCUUGUCGGGUAAGUUCCGACCUGCACGAAUGGCGUAAUGAUGGCCAGGCUGUCUCCACCCGAGACUCAGUGAAAUUGAACUCGCUGUGAAGAUGCAGUGUACCCGCGGCAAGACGGAAAGACCCCGUGAACCUUUACUAUAGCUUGACACUGAACAUUGAGCCUUGAUGUGUAGGAUAGGUGGGAGGCUUUGAAGUGUGGACGCCAGUCUGCAUGGAGCCGACCUUGAAAUACCACCCUUUAAUGUUUGAUGUUCUAACGUGGGCCCCUUACCGGGGUUGCGGACAGUGUCUGGUGGGUAGUUUGACUGGGGCGGUCUCCUCCUAAAGAGUAACGGAGGAGCACGAAGGUUGGCUAAUCCUGGUCGGACAUCAGGAGGUUAGUGCAAUGGCAUAAGCCAGCUUGACUGCGAGCGUGACGGCGCGAGCAGGUGCGAAAGCAGGUCAUAGUGAUCCGGUGGUUCUGAAUGGAAGGGCCAUCGCUCAACGGAUAAAAGGUACUCCGGGGAUAACAGGCUGAUACCGCCCAAGAGUUCAUAUCGACGGCGGUGUUUGGCACCUCGAUGUCGGCUCAUCACAUCCUGGGGCUGAAGUAGGUCCCAAGGGUAUGGCUGUUCGCCAUUUAAAGUGGUACGCGAGCUGGGUUUAGAACGUCGUGAGACAGUUCGGUCCCUAUCUGCCGUGGGCGCUGGAGAACUGAGGGGGGCUGCUCCUAGUACGAGAGGACCGGAGUGGACGCAUCACUGGUGUUCGGGUUGUCAUGCCAAUGGCACUGCCCGGUAGCUAAAUGCGGAAGAGAUAAGUGCUGAAAGCAUCUAAGCACGAAACUUGCCCCGAGAUGAGUUCUCCCUGAGACUUAGAGUCUCCUGAAGGAACGUUGAAGACGACGACGUUGAUAGGCCGGGUGUGUAAGCGCAGCGAUGCGUUGAGCUAACCGGUACUAAUGAACCGUGAGGCUUAACCUU